rnacentral:rRNA from 1 species
UACGGGGGGGGCAAGCGUUGUUCGGAAUUACUGGGCGUAAAGGGUUUGUAGGUGGCUUGUUAAGUCAGACGUGAAAUCCCUCAGCUUAACUGGGGAACUGCGUCUGAGACUGGUGAGCUUGAGUGCAGGAGAGGAACGCGGAAUUCCAGGUGUAGCGGUGAAAUGCGUAGAUAUCUGGAGGAACACCUGUGGCGAAAGCGGCGCACUGGACCAUAACUGACGCUGAGGCGCGAAAGCUAGGGGAGCAAACGGG